rnacentral:lncRNA from 1 species
GAGGCAGGGAAAGUGGGAGGAGGAAGGGGAGCGGGGAGGAGGGAGAUAGAAUACAGGGGGAGGGGCAAAGUGGGAGAGGGGAGGAGGAAGGUCUUGGGGAAGAGCCCCUCCCCGCCCUCAUUUGUCCCCUCGUGAGGAGAGGCUCUGUCUUUGCUUUUCCCCACCUGCAGGCGGGGCUCAUUGUCUGGGGUCUCGGGCCCAUUGUGUGGGGAAGGGAGCCUCAUUGGCAGGGCAUCAAUUUGUGCUUAUCUGCUCCCGGGCCCCGAUUGGCUGACGAGAAGGAGCCUCCCCAGAGCCCCGAGACACAGAACUUUGUGUGGCAACUUUUUACCGCAUGAUGUGACUGUGUGUCCAGGCUUCGGAGUGAAGGUGUGCCCGCCCAGCCAGGAUGACGCUCUGCGGGACCUUCCUGGAAAAUGAGUUCCGGGGUGAGCUGCUGAGUCAGAGGUGGACACAAGGAGACAAAGCCAGCAACUGCAGGACCUCGAGGCUCCUCCUGGGCCGACGCGGCAAGGUGAGGCGCUUGGAGGGCAGCCCCUUCCCUGCCACCUGCCCCCCGCCCUGGGUCUGGGCAGGGCUCCUUCUCACUUCCAAGCAUGGGGCACGGAGGUGACUUUUGUCUGGUCACCACGAGUCUAGGGUAGACAGAGGGUUACAUGGGGCUAGGACCAUCAGUGAUCUGGUCACUGUGAACCUUAAGGAAGAAAAAUGACUCUGAAUAGAGUGAAACUAAAAUAUGACAGCAGGGUGUUGCCUGGGCCAGGUGGGGGCUCUGGGUCUGGUCACACGGGGCUGUCCCCGUAGCUGCUCCCCAGGCAGGCCGAAUGCUUGGUAGACUUUGCUGCGGGAGCUCACGGCAUCCGUUGACCUUGUUUCUUUCCAUCUUCCCAAGUGGGGGCAGAUGGCACAUGCCCUGCUCAUGUCUGCCUGGAACUCACUGAUUGGGUUGACUCAUGCUCCCUGCCUAAGCAUAGAUGCUCCCAAACCCAGGGCAUACCAUGUGCUUACAGCCACACCAACUCUAGAACUUUCCAUGAUGCACUCUGGGUGAAGCCGGCUUCCCAGGGUCUGAUGACCCUCAGCGAUGGAAGUGGAAGGGACAACAGGCCUGUGGGCAUUCCUUCCCAGACCUCAGGCUCCAGGUCUCUCAGUUUCUUCACAGGGUGAUGAUCUCCAUCAAGGAUCCAAGCCAUGAUGCACGGCAUGGCCCAGGGUGCAGACGGGAAGGGCUAGAAAAUUUUAGGCAACAAGUUCACUUCAUGGUACUUGUACUUUACUCUCAAAACCUAACAUCUUUCCUUUGAACCUGGUGACUAGAAUAUAGUCUUUAAUGGGUCUCUUAGCAUCCUGUUAAGCACCUCCACUCCCACUUAGAUUCCUGUAGGCUUGUCGGUGCUCUGUCAUGUUGGAGCUGGAGGCAAAGGGAAAGUCAGUAGUACCGAUCCUGUAUUAUUUAUUUAUUUAUUUAAAAAUUUUUUUGAUCCUAUAUUUAAAUUUACAUUUUAUUCAUCAAGGAUUCUUGACAUUAAUUUCGAUGUUUUAAAAUGUUGCAUUAAACUAUUAUCUUGAUCACUAAGUUUUUGUUUCCUACCCUAAAUUUGCACCUGGGCAAAUGCCUCACUCAUCUCUUGAUGCUCAGUGUUGAGCAUUCAAGCAGAUUUUGUGACUGAAAGAGUUAUUUGGUCUGAGGUCAGGGGCUCUGGACAUGAAUCGAUAGCUGUUGGAGGUGUGUAAGGACACA